rfam:Phaeobacter sp. CECT 7735 genome assembly, contig: 0001
CGUCUUCGAUUUGUUGGGGGCAGAUAAAGUGGAUGUGGCUGUCGAAACCGCCAGCCGUCAAAAUCCGGCCUUCUCCCGCAAUAGCCUCGGUGCCGGGCCCGACAAUAAUGUCUACACCCGGUUGGGUGUCGGGGUUUCCGGCCUUGCCGAUUUUGGCGAUGCGCCCGUCUUUCAGUCCGACAUCCGCUUUGUAGAUCCCGCUAUGGUCCACGAUCAGAGCAUUGGUGAUAACCGUAUCGACCGCGCCUUCGGCGCGGGUGGUCUGGGCUUGGCCCAUGCCGUCACG